rnacentral:lncRNA from 1 species
AGUGUACAAAACAAGCUGUUUAGUAACGCAACAUUAUAAGUUCCUUGAAAGUAUAGAGGUACAAGUUUGUCAUGUAUUCAUUCUUCUGUACACAAACGUUUUCCUUAUUCUUUAGAUUACAUCUAUUAGCAUAAACUACUCUACAUAUAGUAUACAUAAACAAUAUGAAGCAUGAAAAUCUACUGCCUUUACGUUUCGUUUGGUUGGGUUGGACUGGAGUGGACAAAACAUUGUUAAAGAAGAAUGGAAUGCUAAUUUUUUGUCCACUGUACUGUCCGGUGAUGUCAACUACUGUGCGCACUUGGUUACUGUUUGUCAUGUAUUCAUUCUUCUGUAUGCAAACGUUUUCCUUAUUCUUUAGAUUACAUCUAUUAGCAUAAACUACUCUACAUAUAGUAUACAUAAACAAUAUGAAGCAUGAAAAUCUACUGCCUUUACGUUUCGUUUGGUUGGGUUGGACUGGAGUGGACAAAACAUUGUUAAAGAAGAAUGGAAUGCUAAUUUUUUGUCCACUGUACUGUCCGGUGAUGUCAACUAC